AGCAGACAGGAAUAGAUACCCUGGUUAGUUCACGCCGUUAACCUAGUGCAAUAGGUGCUGGAGUUUUUGACACCAUCAGCGCCGAGGCGAAAAUGAUUAAUGCGCCCCCUGGGGAGUACGGUCGCCAGGCUUAAACUCAAAGGAAUUGACGGGGGCUCACACAAACGGUGGAACAUGUUGGCAUUAAUUCGAGGCAACGCGACAGAACCCUUAUCCUGGGCUUGAACAGCUAUGGGAUCAACGUUGGGAAAGCGCAAGCUGCCACACUCUUUUGAGUGGAACAUGCCACAGGUGCUCCAUGCCUUUCGUCCAGUUCCGUUCUUUGGAGUUCUGGGUUUAAGUCCCCUUAACCGAGCGAAACCCCUCUCGUUAGUUACCAUCAGUUAAUUCUGGGGAUUUUAGCCGAGACUCCCGGUGUCAAACCGGAGGAAGUCGGGGAUAACUUCAAUUCUUCAUGCCCUUAAUGCCCAGGCUUGCACACGUGUUCCAAGGCCACCGCCAGACCACAGCGAUACCCCCAGAGUUAGACCAAAUUCCCAAAAAAGGUCGCCCCAGUUCGGAUUCCAGUUUGCAACUCGCCUGCAUGAAGCCGGAAUCGCUAGUAAUCGCGUAUCAGCAACGACGCGGUGAAUACGUUCCUGAGCAUUGUACA
rnacentral:rRNA from 1 species